GGGGCUGUAGCUCAGCUGGCUAGAGCGCCUGCUUUGCAAGCAGGAGGUCAGGAGUUCAAUUCUCCUCAGCUCCACCA
rnacentral:tRNA from 8 species